rnacentral:rRNA from 1 species
UGGCGGACGGGUAAGUAAUGUCUGGGAAACUGCCUGAUGGAGGGGGAUAACUACUGGAAACGGUAGCUAAUACCGCAUAACGUCGCAAGACCAAAGAGGGGGACCUUCGGGCCUCUUGCCAUCGGAUGUGCCCAGAUGGGAUUAGCUAGUAGGUGGGGUAACGGCUCACCUAGGCGACGAUCCCUAGCUGGUCUGAGAGGAUGACCAGCCACACUGGAACUGAGACACGGUCCAG